rnacentral:rRNA from 1 species
GACGAACGCUGGCGGCGUGCUUAACACAUGCAAGUCGAACGAAGAGCGAUGGAAGCUUGCUUCUAUCAAUCUUAGUGGCGAACGGGUGAGUAACGCGUAAUCAACCUGCCCUUCAGAGGGGGACAACAGUUGGAAACGACUGCUAAUACCGCAUACGAUCUAAUCUCGGCAUCGAGGAUAGAUGAAAGGUGGCCUCUACAUGUAAGCUAUCACUGAAGGAGGGGAUUGCGUCUGAUUAGCUAGUUGGAGGGGUAGCGGCCCACCAAGGCGAUGAUCAGUAGCCGGUCUGAGAGGAUGAACGGCCACAUUGGGACUGAGACACGGCCCAGACUCCUACGGGAGGCAGCAGUGGGGAAUCUUCCGCAAUGGACGAAAGUCUGACGGAGCAACGCCGCGUGAGCGAUGACGGCCUUCGGGUUGUAAAGCUCUGUUAAUCGGGACGAAAGGCCUUCUUGCGAAUAGUGAGAAGGAUUGACGGUACCGGAAUAGAAAGCCACGGCUAACUACGUG